UAGCCAGGUGUGGUGGUGCAUGCCUGUAGUCCCAGCCACUUUGGAGACUGAGAUAGGAGGAUUGCUUGAGCCUGGAAGGCAGAGGUUGCUGUCAGCUGAGAUCUCACCACUGCACUUCCAGCCUGGGCGACAGAACAAGACCCCUGUCUCAAAAAAAAAAAAAGAAAGAAAUGAGACAGGGGCAAGUGUCCGCGUGGUGAAUCAGCUACUUACAGAGAUGGAUGGUCUGGAAGCACGCCAGCAGGUUUUUAUCAUGGCAGCCACUAACAGGCCAGAUAUAAUUGACCCUGCAAUCCUGCGCCCGGGCCGCCUGGACAAAACACUGUUUGUGGGUUUACCACCCGCUGCAGAUCGCCUUGCCAUCUUAAAAACUAUCACAAAAAAUGGUACCAAACCACCACUGGAUGCAGAUGUAAAUUUGGAAGCAAUUGCUGGUGACCUUCGCUGUGAUUGCUAUACGGGCGCAGAUCUCUCUGCUUUGGUACGAGAAGCUUCUAUCUGUGCCCUGAGACAGGAAAUGGCAAGACAGAAGAGUGGAAAUGAAAAAGGUGAACUCAAGAUUAGUCAUAAGCAUUUUGA
rnacentral:sRNA from 1 species